UCCCUGGUCUAGAGGUUAAGACUCUGCAUUACUAAUGCAUGGGGCACCCAGGUUCAAUCCCUGGUCAGGGAA
rnacentral:tRNA from 1 species